GUGCUUGCUUCAGCAACACAUAUACUAAAACUGGAAAAAUACAGAGAAAAUUAGCAUGGCCUCUGUGCAAGGAUGACAAGCAAAUUCGUGAAGCAUUCCAUAUUUCU
ensembl:snRNA U6 U6 spliceosomal RNA